rnacentral:rRNA from 1 species
CUUUGCUGACGAGUGGCGGACGGGUGAGUAAUGUCUGGGAAACUGCCUGAUGGAGGGGGAUAACUACUGGAAACGGUAGCUAAUACCGCAUAACGUCGCAAGACCAAAGAGGGGGACCUUCGGGCCUCUUGCCAUCGGAUGUGCCCAGAUGGGAUUAGCUAGUAGGUGGGGUAACGGCUCACCUAGGCGACGAUCCCUAGCUGGUCUGAGAGGAUGACCAGCCACACUGGAACUGAGACACGGUCCAGACUCCUACGGGAGGCAGCAGUGGGGAAUAUUGCACAAUGGGCGCAAGCCUGAUGCAGCCAUGCCGCGUGUAUGAAGAAGGCCUUCGGGUUGUAAAGUACUUUCAGCGGGGAGGAAGGGAGUAAAGUUAAUACCUUUGCUCAUUGACGUUACCCGCAGAAGAAGCACCGGCUAACUCCGUGCCAGCAGCCGCGGUAAUACGGAGGGUGCAAGCGUUAAUCGGAAUUACUGGGCGUAAAGCGCACGCAGGCGGUUUGUUAAGUCAGAUGUGAAAUCCCCGGGCUCAACCUGGGAACUGCAUCUGAUACUGGCAAGCUUGAGUCUCGUAGAGGGGGGUAGAAUUCCAGGUGUAGCGGUGAAAUGC